rnacentral:lncRNA from 1 species
CCAAGAGAUAUCAUCAGUAUUGUUGUCAAGAUCAGCAGGCCAAUCAGGAUAUAGAUCUCCGUCUUUGAAAAAAUUUGCAAUACCAUCAUCAGCCCCCUCAGGAAUUUCUCCGCAAUCCGCAAUACUGACAUCUACCAUUGGGAAAUCGUUAUCACCAGUAGUCACAUGUUCUAUAGAACGAACAACCCUAUGUUGACAUCUACCAUUGGGAAAUCAUUAUCACCAGUAGUCACAUGUUCCAUAGAACGAACAACCCCCAUUCCUUUGAUUACUUUCCCAAAAACCACAUGUUUUCCAUCCAGAUGGG